ACCAAAUAGAUACCCCGGUAGUCCACGCCGUAAACGAUGAGUGCUAAGUGUUAGAGGGUUUCCGCCCUUUAGUGCUGCAGCUAAACGCAUUAAGCACUCCGCCUGGGGAGUACGGCCGCAAGGCUGAAACUCAAAGGAAUUGACGGGGGCCCGCACAAGCGGUGGAGCAUGUGGUUUAAUUCGAAGCAACGCGAAGAACCUUACCAGGUCUUGACAUCCUCUGACACUCCUAGAGAUAGGACGUUCCCCUUCGGGGGACAGAGUGACAGGUGGUGCAUGGUUGUCGUCAGCUCGUGUCGUGAGAUGUUGGGUUAAGUCCCGCAACGAGCGCAACCCUUGUUCUUAGUUGCCAGCAUUCAGUUGGGCACUCUAAGGAGACUGCCGGUGACAAACCGGAGGAAGGUGGGGAUGACGUCAAAUCAUCAUGCCCCUUAUGACCUGGGCUACACACGUGCUACAAUGGAUGGUACAAAGGGCAGCAAAGCCGCGAGGCCUAGCCAAUCCCAU
rnacentral:rRNA from 1 species